ACGGAAGGCAGCAGUGGGGAAUAUUGUACAAUGGGCGUAAGCCUGAUGCAGCAACGCCGCGUGAGCGAUGAAGGUCUUCGGAUCGUAAAGCUCUGUCCUUAGGGACGAAGAAGUGACGGUACCUGAGGAGGAAGCCCCGGCUAACUACGUGCCAGCAGCCGCGGUAAUACGUAGGGGGCGAGCGUUAUCCGGAAUUAUUGGGCGUAAAGAGUACGUAGGUGGUUCUGUAAGCGAGGGGUGAAAGCCCGGGGCUUAACUCCGGCGAGCCUUUCGAACUGCAGGACUUGAGUGCAGGAGGGGAAAGUGGAACUCCAUGUGUAGCGGUGAAAUGCGUAGAUAUUAGGAGGAACACCAGUGGCGAAGGCGGCUUUCUGGACUGUAACUGACGCUGAGGCACGAAAGCGUGGGGAGCAAACAGGAUUAGAUACCCUGGUA
rnacentral:rRNA from 1 species